rnacentral:tRNA from 1 species
GCAAAUAUGACCGAGUGGUCUAAGGUGCUACGUUCAGGUCGUAGUGUGUUCGCACGCGUGGUGGGUUCAAAUCCCACUGUUUGCA